AUUGAACGCUGGCGGCAGGCCUAACACAUGCAAGUCGAACGAGUGGGGGAGGGGUGAGUAAUGUCUGGGAAACUGCCUUAUGGAGGGGGAUAACUACUGGAAACGGUAUCUAAUACCGCAUAAUAUCAGAUGUGCCCAGAUGGGAUUAGCUAGUUGGCGGGGUAACGGCUCACCUAGGCGACGCUCCCUAGCUGGUCUGAGAGGAUGACCAGCCACACUGGAACUGAGACACGGUCCAGACUCCUACGGGAGGCAGCAGUGGGGAAUAUUGCACAAUGGGCGCAAGCCUGAUGCAGCCAUGCCGCGUGUAUGAAGAAGGCCUUAGGGUUGUAAAGUACUUUCAGCGGGGAGGCGUUACCCGCAGAAGAAGCACCGGCUAACUCCGUGCCAGCAGCCGCGGUAAUUC
rnacentral:rRNA from 1 species